GUGGCCUGAAGAGGGUGGAUAAGCCACCGAGGACAUUCACUAUAAUAAAGUUGAUGUAUUUUUGCAACUGCCGAUUGGUGCUCUUGCUGAUUUAUUUUUACAUAACAAACUUCUUACAUUUAAACAUUUUUACAGGAAACAUUUUUAAUCUUCACAUUAGCUGCAUGGCAUGCAGACUGAUAAAUAUUUAUGCUGUGCAAAUGAUAUUUGCUACUAAGAGGGCUGAAAAUGGUUCAGGGGGAGUUUGUGCUUGGAUGGAUAUUUGAAAAUGGUUCUAUCAGUAAAUUAUUUUAUUCUGCUAAGAGCUUUAUUGUGUGUAAUAUGAUGCUAAAUAUAGUUUAUUACAAUAGCAUUUUUAUUAUAGUUUUUUGAAUUAUUAUAAAUUUUUACCAUAUUAUAUAUUCACUGUGUUAUACGAGAUGUGAUCAAAAAAUACAGAGGCUAUCAUUAUACAAACUUUAUUUU
rnacentral:lncRNA from 1 species